GAAAGCUGUAUUCUAGGAUUUCCAAGAGAAGUAUUGCGUAUACAGCAAGGUUCAACGUAUCUAACUAUUAAUUGUUACAAUACAAUGUUAGUUGGAAAACGUGGUUAUUGAUAUUGCGGGCAAGACCGAGGACAAGAACGUGGUUAUAAAGUGGCCAUAUUUAUUUUACAUGGACUGAUGGACAUAUGCUGAACUGAGUUUAGAAAGGAAUUCAUCGUACCAAUAUAAACCAUUGAUAUUGUAAAUACUCGUAUGUUUAUUAAACCAAGUUGCAGAAUUUUAAAUCGUGAUGUAAACUUUGUGUAUAUCUUGGAUUCUUAGAUUUCAGGUAGGAAUUGAAUAAAUUCAUUGUUAUUUGAGGUUUUAUUUUUAUUUUACCACUUCCUGAUGUGACCUGACAGUGCUUGCAAGUUUAUAAUAAUGCGUCAUCGCCCAGAUGUUGGAUGAAUUUGACAAAAUAUUUUCCUUGCUUGCAAUUCUAAUUUCAUUCCAAAAAUAUGGCGAAGUUUUCUUUGUCUUUUGAAUCCCUUGAGAUUAUUUUUAAUACACACUACCAAACACAAAAUAUGAGAGCAUUCGAUUUAAAAGUUGUCUUUGAUUCGAUGAUUUCGAUCUGAUCUGCUUAAUUUAAUAGAUAAUGACUUGAAAAUUCCUUACGAAGUAUUUGAAAUUUCUGGUAUCAUAUUCUUGAAAGAAUGAGUAUAUAAAUUGUUCAACCUCCCAAAUUAUUAAUAGGUUAUAGUCAAAAUAUUAUCAGGCGAAGGCUUGCAUUCAUGAUAUAACAGACGUUAUACUGUAUAUUCUAUCUUAAUUAUGUAAAUAGGGCGAAUUUUUAAAUAAUAAUUAUUAUUAUACAUUUAAUAUGUAUUCUCGUUUCUAAUUGGUCAGAAAGCACCGGCUAAUUUUCAGUAUUCGGCAUUUAUUACGUAUUUUCCGCCGAUGACGUCAUCAGCGUCCAAUAAUUGUUUUUUUGGAUCAAACUUGCAUCCAAAAAAAAUAUUAUUGGACUCUCUCGUUCCCAAGCCCUUGCGCGGCCAAAAGCUUGAACCUAUAAGCGCGCGAAAAAAACAAACAAACAAUGGCCUACAGCAGAUUUGCUUCGUGAAUGAAAGUGAACUCUCCAAAUUAUUGGCAGAUAAGGAUAGUGAAAGCACGAAAAAAGCCACAAAGGGGUAAAUAGAAGUAGAAAUAGAAUAUUUAGCUGACCUUUGAUUUUGUGCAAGGUGUUUGAUAUUCAAAUUGUACUUUUUCUACCUCAUGAACAGGAAUCGUUUUAUACGUUUCUCAUGUCUUUAAUAAAUGUAUAAUAAAACAAUUAUUGGAUUCGGCUUUCGCAUGAUAUCAAGAAUUAUUCAGACCUCGGUCUAUGUUAUCCGCCUCAGCUUCGCUUCGGCAGAUAACAUUGACCUCGGUCUGAAUAAUUCUUGAUAUCAUGCUCAGCCUCAUCCAAUAAUUGCUUAAUAAUAAUAAUAAUAAUAUAGUAAUUAUUUCUAAUCAACAAUUAAUUAUGACUCAAGGUCGAAAAAAAUUGUAGCAAUAACGCAUGUCGGACAUGCCCUUCUAUCCAAUAUUUUGCACUCCAGCCACACUAGAAAUGUUCAGUUCACUGAUAUACCGAAAAUGUUGAUAUUGAAACCAAUAUCGGUUUUUCGGUAUGAGUUUUUCAGUCAUACCGAUAUACCAAAAUUUCCGAUAUAUUGGAAUUUUUGGGUAUACCGUAUCAAAUUUACACAUAUAUGGCCAAAUCAUCAAUUUUUGUUUUACUCAAAUGCAAAGUAAAAGAAGUAGACAUUUCGUGUUAAAAACAUUGUCAACAGCUAUGAAAUAUUCAAAUUAUUCAAAAUCAAAAGUUCGUUCAAAUUUCUAUUAAAUUCAGAAAGCGAAAAACCAAUAUACGACAUUAGUAUAACUACAUAGGUGAUUAUUGAAAAUUCUCCACGCUGAUUGGUUGCCGUUGAGGUGAUUAUUACGCGAUAAUCACCUAAGCUAUUUUCAAAAUGGCGGCCGAAGCCGUUUUGUCAAUUAUCACCUAUGAAAUUAUACUAAAACAAUUAUUCACCUCAGGCUCGGUGAUUAUCGUGAAUAAAAACCUCGACUUCGUCUCGGUUUUUAUUCACCGAUAAUCACCUCGCCUUUGGCGAAUAAUUGUUAAAUAUCGGACAGACCGGUUUUUCCUUAUUUACAUAAGCAUAGGUAUAAGCAACUACAACAAGGGUGAUAAUUACUAUUUAUCACGGCCGUAGGAAGCUCUUUUUGAUUGGGGAGGGGCUGAAAGCGAGGACUGAAGGCCCAAGGAAAUUUUUAAAUUUAGAGUCUCUGAAAUGCCAUUUCCUGGACUUUGGGGAAGAUUUGACAGAAUUCUGAUGGUCAGAAAACAGCAUAUUAAUAUGUCAAAAUUUACAUGUACAAUUGAGUAGUACUAAAUGGGCUAAGGCAUAUUUAGUUAACUAUAUUUUGGAUAAGUUGCAGCAAUUAGUAUGGGUAAUAUCUUCAUUCUUUGCAUGGAUUAAAUAAUAAAGGUCUUCAUGAUUUUGAAAAAAGAAUCAUUAUGAUUAUUAGCAAAUUAUUGGGGGGGGGGGGCUGCAGCUCCCCGGUUGCUACGGCCCUGUUUAUACAACCACAACAACAAUAAAUUGUAAUCUCUGAAAUGGCAUAAGAGUUUUGAGAGCACUUUAAUCUAUGAAAAUUUUUAUAUUUCCAAGAAAAGAUUUUAAGGUUGCUUUGGGGAUAAAGCACAUUCCUGGUGAAAUGAUCAUGCACAAUUCAUGAAUGUUCAUGAAUAAAUCCAUGAACGUUCAUGAAUGUUUGACCAUGAACAUUCAUGAAAGUUACUCAAAUUGUUCAUGAACUGGUCAUGAAUAUCCACGAACAACAGAUCUUUUGAGUUCAUGGCCGUUCACGGUAAUCAUUCUUAAGUAAUCAUUCUUAAGCAUGAACACAUCAAAUAAACACCUAUACCCUAGCUGUUUAUGUGAUUUGCUGACCAAUUUCAUAGUGAAUAUAGAAUAUUCAAUGCAGAAAGUUAAAGCAUUUCACACAUUUCUAAAUUUUACAAGUCUUACAAGGAUCUCUAGAUUUGAGCUUUUCAAUAAUCUCUUCGUGGAUGAGGUAAAUUAUUCUAGGCGAGUCAGAACAUGAGAAAUGAUGCUGAGACGUUUGGCACAUACAUAGUGCACAAGAUUUGGUAUUGUAAUGCUGUAUCUGCAUGUGUACUGAUUGUUUGCUCAUCCUUUGUAGCUACUUGAAUGACCUGACUUUUACAAUGGCUUGAAACAACAGAAUGACACUCUGAGUUGGGAUAUUCAAAAAAGGGUUACAGGUAGGCAGAAGAAGCUAUAAUCAUCUAAGUAUGUUGGUCGUGAUAAUUCUGCCUGACGCGGCCGAGUGAACAAUACUGUAUCACAACAUCACACAACACUGAGUCUCGCAGAACUAGUAUUGUUGGCAGUUUUUAUUGGAUAUUUUUCAGCAUAAUCAGCUAUAUGAUACCUUACGUUCCGUCACCCCCUGCGCACAUAAAUUAAAAGCUGGAAUUGCCUAUUAGACACCCACAACUCGUGCUUGGUGUUAACUAUUUUUAUUGCAUAUAAUCAUUAAAAUGUAUCAAAACGUGAAAACCUGUGAUUUGGCGUUGUAAACGGAGCGAAGGAGAAUGUCUAAAUCAUUCAUAUAUUUAAUGUAAUUAUUCAGUUCUUUUCAAUGAUUUAUUGUAUUGGUAGUCGUUGCCGUCCUAAAUCGUAAGGUCUCUAGUGUUCUCUCAAUUGGUGUUCUCUUGCCACCACCUCGUUCCCAGGCUUUUCCCUCAUGUUGAGGAAUGGUCGGAGCUGGUCACGUGGUUCCCCGAUUUCGCGGGGUAAAUUGAAAUAUACCUUAGGGAGGGUGGAAAAUUGCGUUUGAAAAUUGGCAAGUGUGUUGCACUUUCCGCUGAAAUUGUGAAAGGAACUGUUCUAAAUUCGUAUUUAUCAUGCACCAUUGACACGACUUCCUGCUAUACACUGAAUAUCAUAAAUAAUAAGUGUUGCGUUACAUUUCAAGCGAUAAGCUGGGUCAUAUUUCAUUUGUAAGGAAAGAAAUUGAGUACGCCGUUCGCGGUUCGCCGUAAAACAUAUAUACCUUCUACAACGACUGAUCGAUCAAACAAACGACUUGAUUGUUUAAUUGAAAUGUAUCCUAUGUGAUAUUAUUUCCUGCACUGCAUGACAUUGCUGAAACUCAACGAUCAAGAAUGAUUCCACUCAGAGUAACAUGCAUCACAAGCAUCUUAUUCAUCUGAGUACAUAAUAUGUUACACUAACACAGAAAGUACGUAGCUAUUUGUUAUCACACGAACGCCAAUACUCCUCCGUGCCUGCGGUACAACUAACAACGUGAAUAUUUACAAUGUUACAUGCACCAGACACUGAUAUUGUACUUUAUAGUCAAUUAUUACUAGCAGGGACACCCUGCGCCCAGGCGAGUAUUGUGGAUUCAACAAUUAAUAUGGAGUUUAAGCUUCCCGUUUCCGGGAACGGCAAACGGCACGUUCGAACUUUCUUGGCAAAAUAUUCGUUGCAACGUUUUCGUUUCAGAUUUUCUUUCUUGCGUCGAAAGAAUAAUUAUGUAUUUCAGCUUUAAAACAGCAAGUUCAUUAUUUUACUCUUUAUUGCCUGAUACCGUAAAAUUUUCUUUGCCUGACGUUUGCCGUUUGACGUAUAACGCGAAGCUUAAACUCUCUAAUGCAAAUGGUCCUGUCAUGGUCAAAAGAAUAUCUGACUAAGACAGGUUGUUAUUUAAGAUUUAUGCAAUAUACAGUAUAUCCUGAAUUCGCUUGGGCUGAGGAGUUUCAUAUUAUUUUGCUAUGAAAUCCAUGGCGGGCCGAAUGACAGGUAAAUAAUUAAACCCUGGUUUUUAAACAUGAAAGUAAUUUCAAAUUACUUUUUGAAGGACUACAGAUUUUCUACUUCAGUUGUUGAAAUGCUUUUAUGUUGCUAACAAAAUAAGGCCCGUUUCAUACGUCGCACUAUCAUCGAAUUUAAUUCAGAUGAAUUUAAUUGAAUCAAUUAAAUGCGACGUUAGUACUUCGUAUGAAACGAAUUAAAUCCGUCUGAUGAAUUAAAUUCGUCCAAGACGUCUUAUCCGUCAUGGUCAGACGGAUACAACGUCUGUAGCGCGUCUUCGUUUCAUACGACGUGUUAUCGUCGUGUCGAAUUAAAUGCAUAAAUUAUGUUAAAGUCUGUUUCUCUCUUUCUGGUCUCGUGGUUUUUACUUCUGGGUAAUCCAUGAUCGCUAGACAUGAAAUGAAUUCGUCUGAAUUAAGUUCGUCGUUUGAAACGAAACCAUUUUAGUGUCGACCAAUUGCCGAAUUUAAUAACGAAUUAAAUUUGUCUGAAUUAAAUUCGACGUAUGAAACUGGCCUAAGACCACUAUGUUUGUUACAUAUAUGCACCUAUAUCAUCGACCAUCCCUGUGGCUCCCCAUCAGUACUUUGUGGAAACAGCCCCACCUCCAGGGCAGGAGGACAACAAAAGCUUUAUUACAAUAUUAAUCCAUCACUUCAAAGACCAAGAAGCAUCUUUAUUUAAAAACGUUGAAUAUAACAAAAAAAUGUAAUCAAUAAGUCAAUCAGUCUUUUUUCGUUAUACGCAACGUGCCAACGAUCAGUUUUUAAUACAAUUACAAAGCAAACAAUACAUCAAUAUUAAGAACAAACAUACAUUUGUUAACGUCGGCGUCUUUGCUCUCUUCUUUUAGAUGUUUUUUGAUUUUUUUUCACAAAAAGCUUUUGAAAUUUACAUAAUCUGCAUAAUUGAAAUAUAUAUUUGCAAGAAAUGUUUGUUAUUUCGCUGUCGUCAUGCAGUCGUUAUAAUGUAAUUUUCAAGUUUGACCAAUCAGUGUACGCUAUUCACGACAGUCCCAAUAUUUUGAGAUCAGCGAGAAUAACCACGCAUGAACAGUGUAUAACAGAGAAUAACCACACAUGAACAUAGUCAUGCGCCCGCGAUUAUUGAUGAACUUUACACUUCGCUAAUGCGUUCCUUUCCCCGGGUGUAAGUGGCCGGGCAAAAUUAGUACCCUCGCCCUGGAACGGCGCUCCGCGCCGUUGGUUCGGGAAUAAAGACCAUUCAUUGGCAUUGCCAUUGGCCUUUAUUUGCAGAAUAAUCCAGCUUCUUUCGACGUAUAUCAUGCUGUUGUGGGUAAUCAAUAUUUAUAUCAAUUGUAAUCUUUAUUGUAUACUGUGAUCGACAUCUUCGAAGUUUCAUCCAACGAUGCUAGAGCAAACUGCCGAUCUAUCAAUGGAAAAACUUUAAAAUACUAUAAAAACUCAUCAAUAUGUCUAUGUGCGCGACUUUUUUAUACACUCCUUCCUACCUAGUGUUUAAUAUAAACGAUGAUAAUAUGGUUUAAAUUGAAAACAAACGGAAACCAAAUUUAGCAAGUAUAUAUGAUUCUAAACACUCACGCCUUGCAAUCGAAGUGUAAAGUGCGAAAGUGGAAGCAUGUGAUAUGAGACAUUUCCUCGCCCCCUUAAGUUCUCAGUUUUCUAUAGGCUACGUGCCAGCUCCGACAAUGGUUUUUCGGUUUUUCCUCCAGAAGAGGGAAAGGCUGGGAACGAGGUUGCUCUUUCCAUAGGACAAGCUUUUUCAGUCGAUCAAAUAUUGAUAUCUGAAACAAAUAUGCUGUACUUGCGUUCUUUUGAGCAAAACAUUAAGGUAUAUCAAGCUUGAUCAGAUAUGAUUUAUUAACAAACCAUUUUGUGCUAAUUUUAAACAUUUUCAAAAGUGCUUGUUUGGUUUAAAACCUUGAUUGCUUAGUUAAUAUCGUAUUAAGCUAGCACUUUGUGGAUUAGAUAAAAAUUUUUUGGGCGGAAUAGUUGGUCUAAUUCUCCCGCUAUAUUAAAUCAACUAACGUGUACUUUUUUAGGGACACCAAGAAGUAUAAAAACGGCCUAGUUUUAACCACUACAUCUCGGAAACAAAUUUAAUCUUAGCCUUUAAAUAUAAUUUAUAAUAUUAUACUGUAGCGGCAUGGAGGGCACAGAUUGUGGAGGGUCCGGGGCAAAAAACCUUUCCACGAGGCCUUUAUGACGUCAUAAUUGUAAGACGGGAAAUGCAGUGUUUUGUUUUGUAAUGUAUUGCACUUUAUUGUAUGUUAUCUGGCACUGACGCAGCGAGGAUUUAUAUUCUUGCUUGAGCAAUCUUGUAUCAAGAAAGCUUAUUAAGGGCGUUCGUUGCUUUGGAGGUUCUCUGUGAGCAGCGAAGAAGAAAAUGCACAAAACAUUUUAUGCAUCAAUGACCACCGACAAUGGGCAUCGCCGAUGUUUACGAUCAAUGUGAACCAGGCUUAAGACGAAUUGCGAGAAAGCCGAGCAAGACAAAUCUCCUGUGGCUAAACACACUUGAACUUACGACCAUCGUAUAAAAUGAGACGAAGCAACCAUAGCAAGCACAUGCCAUACACUGGGUAAUAUUAGAAGAUGGGCUAUAAUUGCAAUGCUGUCAAAUGUGACUGCAUUUCAAACAAAUCACAUAUAUAAAAGUAUACAUGUCAACUUAGCAAAUAUUUAACACGCAAUACAACAUACAUAUGUAUAUCACAAUUUGAGAUAUAAAAAAACUGUUUAAAUGUCUUAUAUGUAGAUUGUUGUAAGCUUUCUGAUGAUUUUACAUUUUCUUGCUGUAAUACAAUUUGAUAGAGGAUAAUCACUGAUCACUCAUUUUCUCGGUGUUUGGCAAGUUUUUUGCUUGUGAACUUUUUUUGUGGUAAUUGAGCAUCUAUGGUACUAUGAAUUGAACCACAGAAAAUCUAUUCCCCAUGGGGUUGCGACGAAAUUGCUUUUCUAAGCACUUUUUCGCACAACGGCCCACGGCCUAUAUUCUAAACAUGUUAAUUGGUUGAAACUCUGGAACUUCCACUUGUCGCAUAUUAUAUUCCGCAGCAGAAUAUUCCACGAGUUCUCUCUCCUCAGGUGCAGUAGCCUGCGUUGCAGGCUCUCUGGGUUUGAGGGAGGCGAUGAAAAAUGGGAGACAGAAUCAUCGCCUCCCCCAAACCCAGAGAGCCUGCCACGCAGGCUACAGGCGCGCAGAGGCUUUUAAAGAAUAUGAAAUUCGAAAGAAUUGAAAAAGCGCAAUUUCAAAUACCUUCUAGCUUUCAAAUAUCUUCUUCAAUUCCAAUCCCUUCGAAUUUCAUAUUCUUUAAAAGCCUCUGCGGAGGAGAGCCACAAGUUCAAAUUACAGAUUUAUAGCAGCAAAUAAAAAAUAUAUAGAUGACUCGCUGACAAUUUCUGGCUACAUUAAUCGAUCGCCGCGUGCGAUUGAAUCAGAUAUACUGGUAAAUACAUCAUUGGCAUAAAUCUGUCUUGAAUAACCAAUAACUCCUCGAGUAACCAAAAACGCAAAAUUAAUUUAAAAAAAACGACUUUAUAUCUCGAACUUCUUGCUUUUCGCAUCUGUAUUCAAUACUUAGAGUAUAGCCGCCAUCUUCAAUUCUCAAACGCAUUAAUUUUAUUGUAAUAAUUUACUCUAGAUCCAGAACCAUGUUACUCUUUUUUUGGGAGUUGAAACGACCCCUGGAGUAAAAUUAAGGAGUAAAAAUUACUCCAUAAUUUCUACUCCUAAAAGCGAGUUUAAUUUACUCCUCCAGUGGAGUUAAAUUGACUCCCGAUGGAGUAAAUUGUAGAAUGCGCGCCGAAGUGGAGUAGUUUUAACUCUAUUUUGGGAGUAGAUUUUACUCCACAAUUUUUACUCUCCCGAGAGGAGUAGUUUUAACUCUUAUGGUGGAGUUAAAAUAACUCCUUGAAAUUACUGUCGAUCCAAUUGAAGUGUUGCUCAAAUAUUGAUUCAAUACAUUACCUCGGGCUGACCCAUUCAUUUCAUCAAGUUCCUCGAGAUAUUCAUACACUUUCUAGUAUAAUUGUAAACUUCCUGUUGAAUAGUUUGAAUGCACCAAUCACCUUUGUUGUUUGUGCAACUAACCAAUCAUAAAUAGAAAGGAAGUGACCAGAAAUGAUCCAAUACUUGGAAUUGGCUCUUUCACAGGAAGUGUAUGAAUAUUUCGAGCAAGUUGAUCAAAUGAAUUGGUCAGCCCGAGGUAAUGUAUUGAAUCAAUAUUUGAGGAACACUUCAAUUGGAACGACAGUAACAGUGUGGUGUGUACCACAUUCCUUGCAUGUGAAUGUGGUCUAGUUUACAUUGGUGAAACUGGUCGAAAUCUCUCAGUAGCUACGUCUUAAGGAACAUAUUAAGACGAAUUGCGAGAAAGCCGAGCAAGAUAAAUCUCCUGUGGCAAAACCAUAGAAAUAAAGAUAAUAAUAGAUAAUAAAGGGUUAUUAACCGAGAGCGAGGUCUGUGCAGGAAAGUAUUUGCCUGAGGUUUUCAUACAGACCGAGCGACGAAGGAGCGAGGUCUGUGCGGAUAAACCGAAGGCAAAUACUUUCCCGUACAGACCAAGCAAAACGAGGUUAAUAAACCAUUUAUUAUAUGGCUCCUUAAACAUAUUUUCUGAUUUUCAUAUAUUUGUUUGAGCGCUAUAAAGGUAUUUUUGAGCUAUGCUUUAUUUGCUAGUUUUCUUCCUUUAGAUUUGGAUUCGUCACCGAAUAUUGUUUACGCAAAAGCAUGUUUAACAAUCGCUUUAGAACUACUUUUUCGGUAACCCCCACCCCCUGAAAAAAUGUUUAUAAACCCGGUUUAUAUGAUAUGAUAUUUGUUUAGAAUAUGGUAUUAAAGACGUUAAAUUCAUCUUUAUUUUAUUUUUUGAAACAAGUAAACAAAUCAAAACAUUUUCCCACCAAAACUUACGGUUGUCAGUAAGAGUUCAAACGGCUUGUUUUCUUAGCUUUUUCGAUGAAAUUUGUGUUGAUACAAGUACUUAUUAAUAUUUCCAAGACUUCUUAUUCUUAAAAAUGAUCAUAACGACCUUAUAAACGUGUAAAAACGUUUCAAGUUCGAGCCUGUCAAAUUUACAUACGGGAAACCGGUCCGGAUACGGGAAAUACGGACCACGGUCCGGAUACGCAUUUUACGGACCGCACGUCGACCAAUCAGAAUCCAGGAUUCUGCAAAGCCAUAUAAUAACAAUAGAUAUCUAUUAUUUCUAUGGGCUAAACACACUUGAACUUACGACCAUCGUAUAAAAUGGGACGAAGUAACCAUUUUGGCGAUUGAUAGUCAUAAGUUCUCUCGCAAAAUGAGAGAGUCAAUUGAAAUUGAGAAGCACAAUACUAUAGAUCAGGAGGGAAAGCCACUAGAUAGUAUACGUGGCGUGCUCUCUUUAAUGUGCGAAAUUAAUUUCUCUUGUCUUGGAUGCGCGCGCGUUAAUUAGAAUCACUUCUCUACGUUUGAAAUGACGUGGUUGAUGUCCCGUUUAAUUAAAUUUCAGAUGACGCGAGCCAACAGAUCACGACACUUUUGUAUAUAAAAAAAGAGCGCGUAAAAAAAUGAACAAGUCACAUAUUAUUUGCACUGAUGAAGAACCAGGCUUACGGAUCGAAAGCUUUGCAGUAAUAAAUUUACGUGGUGUUUCCACAAACAAAACUAUUACAUAAUUUUAUUAUUUGCUAAACUCCGGAUAUCCUUGCGCUAUUCAUCUCCGCACCAAAACAAAAUGUCUUUCCGUAUUUUUCCCGGAUAUUAUUUUAAAACUAUUUCUAAUUAUUUAACAAGACGCUUCUUCGAACGUUCAGUUGCCCCAGCAAAUAAUUGUAAAAAUUGCAUAGUGUUACAUUUUUAUACAUAAUACAACGAAAAUUUAAAACAAUUUGUGUUACAGCUCCCGUUCCCGGAUUAGUUGUAAGUAAAACAGUACUAUUUACUAGUAAUUUUAGUAUUAUUCACUAGAAAUAGUUUUAAAGAAUACCUAUGCACAUGCACUGUCACUGUUAAUCAAAUCUUUGUUAGCUUUCUUUAUGUUUGGCGGAACCGUAACUCCAUUUAGUAAAAAUAUUUGCUCGUCUGUAUUCGGAACAAAAUCGGAAGCCAUUUUGUUUUUGUCCGGAGGUGAAUGCAAAGAUAUCCUGAGCAGCCAAUCAAAUUGGGUGAAAAGAGCUGUCCACCUCCCGAGUGCAUAUAUGAUAAUAGUGCUAUAGGAUAUUGACCUCAACGCCUCCCGUCUCGGUGAAUAUUUUUGUACUACUAUUCACCUCCACUUCGGUGAAUAAUUGUUAAAUACGUUAUAAUUAAGAAUUGAAGAAAACUCGAUUGUUUCAAAAAACGUAAAUUAGAAAUAACAUUCUACAAGAUUACGAUCUAAAUAUGUCUGUUAAAUAUGUUGUAAUCUAUAAAGUAUAUAGUUUGCUGAUUUUAAUAGUUUGAAAGCAAAGAAUACUGUAUCAAGAUGCAUUAUUUUAUAAAAUUUUGUAUCACACAUUAAAGGAUACACUAUUGUGAUAUGGAAAAACAAUGACAGGAAAAGAAGAUAUACCUCAUAUAAAACAACAACUUUCAUGACUUUCAUCGAAAUCAGCGACGAUUAUAUUUCAGUGUGAAAUAAUUGCAAUAUAUAUUAAAUGCAAUAUAUUUAUGUCCAGUAUAUGAUCGCUAUAAUCAAUGAUUUUUUGUAUUUUAUCGCUUUUGUAGAUACUUUGCACAGAAAGAUACUUAGUUGCCUAGAUUUUGCACCACGAUGGCAGUGAAACCAUUUUCCAAAGAACAAUUGAAUUUCUUUAAGUUUUCUACACUUGUUCUUGAUGAGUUCCCCAAGGUAUUGCGUCAAAUUUUUAUCACCAUGUGGGACAGCAAGGUUGCUGUAAGACCAGGAUUCAUUCCAUGGGAUGACAGUAUCACAGUACGGAACAUGCUUCUUAAAUCUGAAGGUGGUAAAACAGAUAUACCAACUACGAAAUCAAUUGAGGAGUGGGACUGCAGAGCUUUGUUUAAAGCAACAAUCUAUGCCAAAACCUUUGGUGUUCCAGGAAGCAAGGGAUCAACUUUGAAUGAUUUAUAUUUGAAGAAAGUUAAACCACCUCCUGGUACUUUUCAUUCAUCAGUCCAGAGCUCAACAGGAAGUCAAGAUGAGACCUACGCCUUGGCAAUUGAUCAACUGCGAUUAUUGAGAAACACACUUUGCCAUUCACCAAAACCAGUAAUAGUCAAAAUUGAUUUUGAUAACUAUGUACAAUUGGUAACCAACGCUUUAACAGCAAUCAAUGUUGAUAGCGCUUUUGUUGAUACUAUUGGUCAAAUGAGCGAGGAUGAUUUCCCUACAGAGAAAGUUCAAGAAUUACAUGAAUGUCUUUUGAAUGAGUUACGAGCCAACAGUGUAUUUCAUGAGAAUAUGGAGCAGAAGUUGUCCUCUAUUGACGAACGAACCGAGAAUGUGGAGGAGAAAUUGUCUUUUAUUGACGAACGAACAGAUAAAAUUCAUACAAUGAUGAAAAAAUUUAAUAGGACUUUUGGAGAGAAGAGAAAUCUACCAGGUAACGUUAAAUGCACAAUAUGCAGUGUAUAUAUAUACAGAUUACUGCAUGAUUGGCGAGCGUGUACGAUUUUUAUGCACGAGUAUGGUGGCCCAGCGUUACCAUAGUGAUAUACCUG